GCCAGUGUGGCAUAGUGAUUUGAAUGUUGGACUACAACUCUGGAGACUUGGGUUCAAUUCCCUGCUUGGCA